GAUCUCAUGUACAACGAGGAGAUGUGCAGCUCGUCAACAAGAGAGGAAAACUUCCGUCAGACGGUAACUCUGGAGCCAGAGGGAUCUAUCGUUAUUCCAUUUGUCAUUGUACCUCUCAAAAUUGGGGAGUUGCAGGUGGAAGUGAGGGCACUGGUCAGAGAUAUAUUCUACAGUGAUGGUGUGAUAAAGAAACUAAAGAUUGUGGUAAGUAAUGCAGAAUCAAUAAAUAGUCAGGUUUUAUUUACCCAAAUCAUCACCUAUAUUAUUGUACCAUGAAUUAUAAAAAUUGGAUUUUUAGAAACAGAAAUCUCCUUGUUUUUCCAAAUGGGCCAAAAGGGUUCAAAGUUUAAAUCCCAGAUGACAUAGCAAAGUGUAAUGUUUCUCUUUGAGGUUAUGUUCUUUUGAUUGUCUUUUGUCCUAAAUAUGGUUAGAAGACAAUAUAAUCAAUUUAACUCUAUCUUGUUUCAGCCCGAAGGGAUUAGAAUCAUGAAAACCAUCCAGAGUGUUGUAUUGGACCCAUUACGUUCUGAUGCCGGUGUGUGAGAUCUGCUCUGUGUGUGGAGGUUUGGUGUCAGUGGAUAUUGAGAUAUAUGUUCCACUAGCUAGGUUCUGCUAGUUUGUCAUUUGAUGUUUUUUUCCAUUGACAAGAGAUAAAAU